UAGGUAACCACUCGGCGAUUCGCACACAUC
rnacentral:sRNA from 1 species